CUUAACAUUAACUUGCGUCGCUAGCGGUACGGGUUUGGAAGCACGAGACCUAAUCUUUCAUGUCAUCGAUAAAUUGUUUUCAAAAAAACUAAAGGUUAAAUUGAUACACAGCUGUAUAUGGUUAGGGUUCCCACACGGCCAUAUCUCCAUGUUACAUUUCGUGUUUAUGAUAGACAUUGGUACCACCUGUGCUAAUUAGCCAUCUAGCAUGCUGUGUGUAACAAAAGGCCGCCAGAAACGUGUUGUGAAUGAAAAAUACUGCUUGCUGCAACAGUGAGAAAGCUGGUUAAAACAGUGUACAGUUUCCAUGAUGCUGAUGGUGCUGCAGAAGUGUCUUCAGCUCUUCAGUGUCAAAUAUGGCAUGUCCACAUUCCUCCAAGACAGAGGGGCCUGCACCAAGCCAUGCUGCCGUCUGAGAUGUCUUCGUAGAUCCGAGGGCAGCGAGCUCGGAACUAAGUUUGGUGAAGACUCUUGUUUCUCACUGAUGAGAGAAGCUGCUCCUGAACACUCCCAUCUGCCCAGAGUCUUAACAACGCAUGGACCUCC